CCAAAUAACCGACAGUUGUAAAAAUGGAGGUGCUUGCGUGUAUGACGAAAAGAAACAAACUUAUUCAUGCAAGUGCAAGCCCCCUUGGACCGGAGAAACUUGUGCUGAGCUGGUUACUUGUGACAGCCAUCCCUGCAAAAACAAUGCAACUUGCACAGAUGGAGUCGACGUAUAUAACUGCAGCUGUGCACCAGGAUUUUACGGGACACAGUGUGAAAAGAUUGAAGGCCUGUCUUGUUCAUCAGCUUACCGGAUUAUUUUUAAACAGUCUACCACCGAAAGUUAUGCCAUCAAAGCAAAUGCCAUUUCAUCUAAUCUCACGGAAUUUACGGUGUGCCUUUUUGUUAAAAGGAAAGAUAUAAAUUCAAGUCAUUACCAGUGUGUCUACAGCUAUGCAGAAGCUUCUGGUUAUGAUAUUGGAAAUGCCAUAUAUGUCUGUUUGAAUACUCCAAAUAUUGAGAUCAAUGUGGAUAACCGCGGAUACAGUGGUACAAACACCGGAGUCAAGAUCAAUGA